rnacentral:tRNA from 1 species
GUGAGUUUAGUUUAACAGAAAAAACAUUUGGUUUGCACUCAAACAAUUUAGGUUUAAACCCUAAAGUUUACA